ensembl:lncRNA
CAUCGAGGUUACCUGUGAGAACACAUCAAUCAGCCAAGGCUACACUGAAGGGCGUGAAGCUUCCCAGAAAGCUGCUCAAAGGUGGCAGAAUUUAAGAAAGCCAGGAAAUGCCACCUGUGGAAGGAGCCGGGGGAACCCCAUCCUGAAAUACCGGGGACGCCGGGCAUCUAAGUCUGGGUUUGCUGAGGGCAGACUUCAGCUGUAAUUUUUUGGUAAUUUUUUGGUUUUAACUAAUGUUCUGUGGUUAUUCAGGAUGACCGCCAUCGAGGCUGAAAGGACACGCUACAGUCUUUUCAACGUGUUCCUAGAUUGAAAGUUAUCUCUCAGACAGCGUGUGUUGAGGGAGACGGUCUGUGAUUUCAUGGAGUUGGCUGAGCUGGUGAAAAGAGAAGGCCUGUGUAUCCACGGACAGAGGCAAUUGAAAACGAAUCCAAAAGGAUUUUUGUAAUGUAAAGAGCUGCAAGCCACAAUUACCAGCUGAACCUGAAAGUCCUUCCGCCACGCUGGAGUUUCACAACAAUGAAUCAAUUAUUCCUCAACCACCAGGCAGGCUGGCCCUGAAGAAGCCCCCACCUCCAAUAUCAGGAAUGUCCUUCCUCAGGCGUGAGUGCCUCUCCUGGGUCCUUCACAUCACACUGUGGGCUCUGGAUACUAAAAGGUCUUUGUCUUUUGCCAAGAUAUGAAUUCUACGUUUCCGCUUCUCUAAGACCCACCAGCUCUUCGAAAGUGGCUCUCCUCAAGUUAACCACUCUUAGGCCUGUCCCGGUGGCCACUUGACACCAGUGCCCAUUGGCUGACUGCCCACCAGUUGGCCGAUGAGCUGGGAGUCUCACAGGGACAGCUUCAAGGUCUCCAGGCACCAGGUAGGGUGUGCCCAGGGUAAGUAUGGGGUCCCCUCUACUGCAGGCCCUCAGUGAGACAGUAUAGAAACACUGCCUCCUCUUCUUCUCCACCCUUCCCCUGCUCCUCUUUUCUCAUCCCUCACCCCUUCCUUCUUUUCCCCCUUCUCCAUGCCCAAUAAAUCAGUCUAACUGUCUCAUUUCAUAGGCGGCAAGGAGACUUCCUGAAAGGCUAAGAGAAAAGGGAGUCUUGCCAUACCUUAUGACUGACCUCCGCUUGACCUCCAGUCCCAGGGAUCUGCCUGGUAGGAAUGUGUGUCCUCCUUAGGACCUCUUUCCUAAUGUUCUAUACCCCUCAGGCCCUGAAGUGCAUUGCUGUGGCUCCACACAUGCUAGACAUCCUCUUAGUGACAUUUGCAGCCACUAAGCUCAGUCUCCCAUGCGCAUGUCUGCCACCAUCCAGCCCAGUCCCACACACCUACACCUGGACCCUGUCCCUGCCUGUCUCUGGGCACAGUCAGCCAGGUGCCUCCUGACCCCAUCCUUCUGAAGGCAGUAAUCCCGGUAGCAUCUCCACCUCCCCCCCACUCUUCCUACCUCAGUGGCUCUCUCUCCCACAGCACCUCUGCCUCUACUCUCAGGCCUGAGCCUUUCCCCAACCCACCAAUGCCAUCAUGCAAUAAUGCGGCAGACAGCACCUUCAGAGCUAUCACUGCCAGACACCGUAGGCUGGGUAACGCGUGACCCCCAUCUGUGUGUGUCUUGGGACCAGCACUGGCCUGUGUUUUUCUUCCCAUCAUUCUCUGCAGCAAACCAAGCUCCGUGCACAUGGUGGACAUUUUAAACACUUUCAGAACACCAGACAGUGUGACGUGCGACUCAUGAGCCCAUUGUCUUCCCAUGCACUUGAGGACCACCUGACUAGAGGCUAGCAAGCACAUAGUUAGCUGGGCAUCCCACGCCGAUCAUCAAUCAAGAAAAUGCCCUACAGAUGUCCCUACAGAACAACCUGAUGACCCUAGCAUGUAUCAAGCUGAUAAAAAUACUGCCAGCAUACAAGACAGGUGAAGAGAGCCCAGAAGGGGCUGGGAACAGCAUAGUCAGUUAGUCAGAUCUGUGGCCUGGAGAGACAAACCCUACAAAGAGAGAAAGCCAGACAUCUCCGAGAGCCACAGCUGCGGAUGGCCUUCUGGGGCUCUGGAAGAGAACAAAGGCCCUGUGUGACUGUCCAGGGUGAAGCCCUUGUGGAAGACAGAGCCCCUUUCAAUGCCAGCCAACUCCCACCAAGUCAAGGCUGCCUUGGCCUUGGGCUAGAGGGGCAACCCUGAUGUGGCUGACGCAAGUGGGUGAUUCAAAAUCACCACCAGCAAGGUGGCGGUGACUGCUAGGGGACACAGGGGACAACUUCAGUUAGGUUUACCUAAUCUCAGCUCUGACUCCAGAAAGUGGGUAUGGAGCCUGGCAAUGAGCUGGUCAGAGCUCCAGGGGUGGAGACAAGGGCUGUGACUAAUGAAAUGUACCAGACAUGGCCAGCUGCAGGUAGUGGGCAGGUGAGCUGAGCCUAGGCCAAGGUUGAGACACAGAUGAACUCAAAAGCCAGAGGACAGUGGGAGAACAGCAUAGCUAUAGGGACAACAGCCCUCAGGACCACAGGCUAUCGAGACCACAGUGAAUGGGGACCACAGCUCAUGGGAUCAUAACCCACGGAGACAAAACCCCACAAGGAUCAUAACCCAUAAGACCACAGCCCACAGGAACCAACAGCCUAUGGAAAUGCAGUGUUUUGCAGCUAUGGGAAUCAGCUGAGAACUUGGGGUUCAAUGUCCCCCUUGAUCCUAGAAUAUGGCAGAGAGGCACUCAGCCAUAGGCUCCUAGCUCUGCUCAGCUCCUAUCUAAGACACUAGGAGUGAGUUGGGCAGAGGAGCCAGAUGUCCACCAAGUUAUAGGGGACCUAGGAAUGUGCCCUCUGUGUGGGUAGACCACAGCAGGGCCUGUCUUUUCACCCUCCCUGGCUCUCCCCUCAGUUCCUAAGCCAGCAGUUUCAUAGCUGAGCUGGCAAACAGACUGCAGCUGGAGAAAGGGGACUGGGUUAUAGCACAGGCGAGGCCAGGGGUGUUCUGGGAAAGUCAUGUUCAGCAGCAAAACUCAGAGAAGGCAACUGCGGAGGACACUGGUACAGAGAAGAGGUUCUGACCAGGGCAGGGGGCAGCUUCCCAGUAACACUGGACUCUCUAGAGAGACCAAGUUUAGGUCCACAUCUAACCACCUGGCUCUCAGAUGCAGCUCCUAGAAGAUGAGCCCCUCUUCUUAAAGCAGGUGUCCAGGGACCACGUGAAUGGGGUAAGGCAGUGCAGGUUUUGGGGGGCUAUCUGGGAUGAGCCUUUAGGCGAUUCUGGGAAAGACAAUGCAGAGGCAGAGGACACAUCUUUUCUACAAAGGUAGAAAAGCAGGCCCAGCAGGCCCUGCCCCUUCAGCUGAUGCCUUUCCAGGUCCUGGGAAGGAAUGUGUGGAGUUUGCUGGCAGAGAUCAAAUGAAGAUCUGGAGAACCCAGUCACACCCAGGACAACAGCCUCCAGGGAAUAGGGUUUGGGCAACCAGGAAAGAGCACAGGAGGGUGGCUAUGCUGAGCAGAGAGAGCAGUCAGAGUGAGUAGGCCACAGAGUGGCAGACAGAGGGACCCCGGGGAAGUUCACAUACCUCAGGUGUUGCACUGACCACUGUGGCCAGUGAUGUCUCAGGGAGGCUAAGGAAGCAAUCUGAGGGAAUGGCUUUCAGCUCAGGCUUCCCCUAGUGAGCACCAUGCGUGGAGGAGGGAGAGCCGGGAGAACUCAGAUGGUGACUGAUGGUGGGAGCAGGGGACAGUGGUGACAAUGUGAAGAAGAAGGGAGGAGGCAGGCUAACUAGCUGGAAGGGUGUUUUAAAUGCAGACAGCUUUGGUGGCGUACGCCUUUAAUCCCAGCACUCGGGAGGCAGAGGCAGGCAGAUCUCUGUGAGUUCGAGACCAGCCUGGUCCACAAGAGCUAGUUCCAGGACAGCCUCCAAAGCCACAGAGAAACCCUGUCUCCAAAAACCAGACAGCCCAUGGCACCUGAGAUGCCAUGCGAUGCAGAUUCCAGUGGAAAAGAAGAAUAAAACACAAAGGAAGCAGCUGGUUCCGGGAUGAACAGUGAAUUCAAACUAACCCAGGUGGGAGAGGGGGUGCAGCCAGGGUGGCCAGCCCAGACUCCUUUAUCCUGGGACAGCCCUCAUCAGUCUGCCUUUGGAUGCCUGGGACAGCUGUGGGUCUCAGGCUGGGUACCAGAUCCACCGGUCCCCAUGAACUCAGAAGUUCAGCUGUACACAGGGAGAGGAGGUGUGCCUGAGAGCGCCUAAGUGAAAAGAAGUGGUCCCUCAGCAGUUCUCAGCCUGUGGGCUGUGACCCCUUUGAGGAGGUCACAGAUCAGAUAUCCUCCUGCAUAUCAGAAAUUUACAUUACGAUUCAUAACAGUAGCAAAAUUACAGUUAUGAAGUAGCAACAAAGUAAUCUUCUGAUUGGGGUCAGCACAGACAUGAGGGACCGUAUUAAAGGGUCCCAGCAGGAGGAAGGUUGAGAACCACUGCUUUACACUGUCUAACGAACAGCGGUUUAAAGUGGCAGCUGGGGGUGUCUACAGCUGCCAAUGAGCCCUCACUCCAGGCCACAGCCUUGUUUUGGACACUGGGAAGACUUGAGGGUCUUCACACAAUGUAGGGGCCCUGGCCACACCCAAGGCACUGGAACUCCUUCUGUUCCUCCUGUGAGCCCUUCCUCAGGAAUGAAUGCAGGCUCAAGGACCACAGCUGGAGGGCACUGAGGGACAACACUGUGACAAGUGGGGGACCAGCCAUUCCUAUCAUCACUGUGUUCUAGGGGGCCUCCUGGAUAAGGUCUUUCACUUAGCCCUUAGCAAAGCUAGCUGGGGCAGAGCUGGGCGCUUUCCUCACCCCUGUGAAAAGGCCUGAAAGGCCUGGUGUGACUGAGGCCAGCCUGCAUGUUACCAUAGAACUGCACAUGGUGCUGUCCUGCAGCCAGCAGAGCUGGGGAGCCCCAGGUGCCUCCCGCCCUGUAUUCUGCACUAUGGGAGCCCCAGGCACCUCCUGCCCUGUAUUCUACACUAUGGGAGCCCCAGGAGCCUCCUGCCCUGUAUUCUACAUGAUUCACUAUGCCAUGUCAGUGCAUCUGCAGGCCAGUGACAGCGUAGUGAGGCAACAGCUAGCCAGAGUCAUGGCUCCCAUUGUGCCCAUGACCCCGCUACCCUCUGAAGAAGACAGGAAUGAUCGACUGGUGACCACACAUUUGGGUGAGUCAGGUGCACCUGCACCAUAGCUCACCAGGAGGAAACACCCCCACUAGUCUCCAGAAGUCCAAACUGAUACACACCGGGGUGCUUUCUCCCCUGAGUGACUCACUCAAAAGUUUUAUUUUUGCUCAACCAAAACUUUUGUAUUAUUUGGGCACACUCCAGGUAUUGGGUUAGGAACAUCUAAAAAUAAGCCCUCACUACUGGCUCCCAGUAUGGCAAGGACUUGUGCCUCUACAGUGAGGUCACAAUGCUCUGAGCUCUGUCCCUCCUUCCCACACGCAUGGCCCAGGCCAAAGUAACCUCAACUUUUCAGAAAUCUAAGGGACAUUCCUAAGAAGUAGGAGUGGGCAUGGCCUUGGUAGGAGUAGACGCCCAUGUCCUCAACUGGCAGAGGGCAAGUUGGGUCUUGGUACUCUGAGGGCACCUCGAGGCUGGACACAGCCCUAUAAGGAGCUUCUGGUUAGGACCAAGCAACAGCACCAAGAAUAGCCUCAGCUGGCCUUCGGACGGACCGGCGCCAGGGUCCCAAGGAGGGCGCCAGGACAGCCAGACGGGUUUGAUGCCUGGUUUCCUUCCUGCUAACUGCCCAGUAUGGCUCCCUGAGGCUGGGGCCUGGGGCACACAGCAGGGCAAACUGCUGGCCACAGAUGCCAGGCCAGAUGCCAUGCUGAGCAACUUCAACACACACAAUCACCCGUGUUCAUGCUCUGAAGCUUGCAUACCCUCCCUCUCCUCCCCUGACACAGGUGGCCCCUCCCUCACACCCAACUCCUUCUUGUCUGCCUUGUGCCCCAGAGGGUAAGUGUCUGGCUGUGCCCUUUGACCUUGACCUGACUCAGAAAUGAGUCAUUAAAACCCUGCUGUCUGGAAUCUGUGGGACUUCUGGCCACCUCCCAUCCGAAUGACCCUGGAGGGAGUGGGCAGCCACCUCUAAACGGGAUCCCGUUGUUCAGCCUGGAAGAAAGCCAGGGCAGAGUGCGGCCUGCUGGGUCCCAGAGCAGGAAGCAGAGGAGAGGAUAGGCAAGAUGUGUGAGGUUGAAAGCCAAAGGGGGGUGGGAGGGUUGCUGCAGGGCCCAGCCUCUCUUCCUGUACACUGGCCGUGUUAUUCUAAGGCAGGGCCUGGCUCAGCUACCCUUGGAGGGUGGUGUCCAGGGGUGCUCACAUCAGUCUCCUAGGGUUUGGGCAGUUCAGCUACCGUGGGAAGAUUAAUCCCCACACUAGGUGUAAGCUAGAGAUGGGAGGUGGCUCAGGGGACUUUGGGGCACAGUGUCUGGUGUGGGCCCCUGUGGAGUACUGAGCAGAGAUUGUUUGUCCUUGUGGAGCAGAGCUGACUUGAACACUGGCUGUUUUCCAGGUGGUGGGGCUGGGGACACGGACAUGGGCUUGGAGUUCUAUGAGGGAAUGAGCGCUGGGCUCACAGGCUGCUCUCAGGUGUUUUCAAGUCCCUUGACCCCAGGUAUGUGACUCUAGCUUGGCGGGGGGGGGGUAGGUAGGGAGAAGGAGAAUGGAUUUUUACUCUUUGGCUCUGUGGGGUACCUACCACCCAGCUCCCAAAUAAUUACACAAUAGUCUUAUUAUUACUUAUAAAUGCCCGGCCUUAGCCUGGCUUGUUUCUAGCUAGCUUUCUUAAUUUAAAUUAGCCCAUCUACCUUUUACCUCUGGGCUUUGUUUUGUUUUAUUUUGGUUUUGUAGUUGUUGUUGUUGUUGUUGUUUUUCAAGACAGGGUUUCCCUGUGUAGCUCUUUGUAGACCAGGCUGGUCUUGAACUCACAGAGAUUUGCCUGCCUCUGCCUUCCAAGUACUGCCGCCGCCACCACCCACCUCUGGGCUUUUACCUUUCUCUUUUUUUGGGUAUCUUUUCUUUGUUUCUUAUUCCGUGUCUGGCUGUGUGUUUGGGUGGCUGCCCCAGCAUCCUCCUCUCCUUUUCUCACUCCUCAAUGUCUCUUCCCAGAGUUCUCCUCUUAUUUAUUCUCUCUGCCUUCCAGCCCCGCCUAUCCUUUCUCCUGCCUGGCUGUUGGCUGUUCCCCUCUUUGUUAGACCAAUCAGGUGUUUUAGACAGGCAAAGUAACACAGCUUCACAGAGUUAAACAAAUGCAACAUAAAAGAAUUCAGCACAUCUUUGCAUAUUAAACAAAUACUCCACAGCCUAAAUAAACCUGACACAUCUUUAACUAAUAUUCUACAACAAGGUAGAGGGUGGCUCAGCCUGGAACCUGUGAUCCUGACCUGAACAGGUUGGGGGUGGCUGCCUCAGCAUCAUUGGCACCGGGGACAUUCACGUUCUACACACUUCUUCCAUUUUCUCCUGCAUCCAAGGCACCAACAAUGUCACAGGUGAGUGACCUGACUUGGGAACACAGAAGACUAUGCAGACAUGGAGGAUGGAGCACUCUUUGCUGAGUGAGAGUAUAGGGAGAAUGUCCCAGGGCUCAUAGAAGUCCACACAACUGAUGCUAAGACCACAUGGGAAUGGAGACAGUACCCAUCCCCAAACGACACCAGGCAGAGACACACAAGGGGCCCGUUUCUCUCUCCCUUUGACUUGAACAUCGCAUCCUUACAGCUGAGUGAGUGACAGGCAAAGUGAGUACAGAUCCGACUCUACCACUCCCACAGGCACACGGGGUGCCGUUUGUACAGCCUCACUUUGGAGUUGUGCAAAAAUAUUAAACAGCUGUUACAGGAGGGCCACAGAGCAGCGCAGGUACCUGGAGCUCUGGGCAAGAAUGAGAUCUUAGGACCCAGUCUGGACCUGGAGAUCAGCGGCUGUACUUUAAGAGAAGCCAUCCCGAGGACCGCAGAGGCUCUAUCAGGCACAACCAGGACCGCUGAGGUCAGGAUCUGACUGUUUUUCACACAGCAUCCAGCCUUGCCAGGACAUCCUAGGUCUGUCUGUGUGGGCAGGAACUUUACAUUCUGUGAACACCUACAGGUGGGUGGCGAGCAACUCAGCUUUCCAGGGCAUGGGAGACAGCCCUGGCAGCUAGGAGAGGCUGUGGCUGGCAACCAGCAGAGGUGUAUAGCCUGCUGCCCAGCUCCACCCACACUGCACCAGAGAGCCGGACAGCACUGCCACUGGAGGGCAGCUGGUUCACCUGAGCUGGCACACAUUCUAUGGGUCUGGACAAAUGUUUAAUGACAUACACCUUCUAUUACUAUGUCAUACAACAGCUCCCUGGCCCUAGAACUCCAUGUGUGUAGUCUAUAUAAUACUACCCCACCUCCAGAACCCCAGCAGCCCCAGAUCUUCUCGCUGUUCCCAAAGUCUUGCCACUUGCAGAGUGUCACACUGUAGGAACCCUACAGCCUGAAGCCUUUCAGACUGGCUCACUUAACAGUGUGCAUCUAAGGCUCCCCUGGCAUCUUGAGGCUCGGUAGCACAUUUCUUCCCAGCUCUGAAUGGGUGUUGUUACCAGACUGUGCCCAUUUAUUCACCCACUCACCAAUCACAAGGCAGCUCUGUCACUUCCUAGCUUGGCAGUUGGGAAUGCGGCUGCUGUGGACACCCAUGCAGAGGUUGCAAGGGAAUACCUUGCACACCUAUCCAGAGGUUGCAUGGGAAUAGCUCUUCAGGUCCUGUGGAUAACUACCUGGGGUGUAUUUGUGGGGUGUCUGGGAAGACUACUGAGGUUUCAAGAACCUGCCCAGCUGUCUUUCAUGGCUGCUGUGCCAUUUUGCCUCCUAGCGUGACCAACUCUUGGUGACAUUGGUGUAGGGAACUUGGCACUUCUAAUUAUGGAAAGUGAUAUCUCAUUGACUUAUUUGCAUUUCCCUGAUGCUAUUGGAAAUGGAGCCUCCUUUCACCUAUUCAUGUAAAGUCUCUGCUCUGAGGAGGAAGGGUUUGGGCCUUCAGUACCUUUUUAAAAUCAUGUUCUUCAUUUUCUCAUUGUUGGAUUUCAACAGUUCUUAGCAUAUUUAGGGUAUCAUGUGUCAUUUGUGAAGAUAUUUUUCCUCCUAGUCUGCCUGGAGAAAUGUCUUCCAUGGAAUACAAGUUUAGUUUUGUUUAGGUUUUUAAUUUUUAUUUACGUGUGUGUGUGUGUGUGUGUGUGUGUGUGUGUGUGUGUGUGUGUGUGUACAUGUGUGCAUGUGGGCUCCCUUGGAGACCAGAAGAGGAUGCUAGAUCCCCUGGAGCUGGACUUACAAGUGGCUAUGAACCACUGUUGUAGUUUGCUCUCUAUCACUAUAAUAAAAUAGUAUUACUAUAAUAAAAUACUCAGAAGUUACCUGAGGAGGAGAGGUUUCAUUUUAUCUGACAUUUGCAGGUCACACGCCAUUGUUAGAGAGGUCAGGGCAGGAACCUGGAGGCAGGAACUGAAGCAGAGACCAUGGAAGAGUGCUGCUUAUUAGCUUGCUCUCCAUGGCUUGUAGGGAGAGAUCUUAUUAGGUACCUGUGGUGCUGACCACGCCCAUUUGGGCGUGGCCACAGGUGCGUGAGGGAUUUAAGCCUGAGGAGGAGACAGUCUCUCUCUCUCUCCUCUCUCUCUCUCUCUCUCUCUCUCUCUCUCUCUCUCUCUCUCUCUCUGUGUGUGUGUGUGUGUGUGUGUGUGUGUGUGUGUGUGUGUGUCUGUUCCGAUGGGAUCUUGGAGGGCAGCUGAGAUUGGAUGCUCGGAGUGGAGCGCUGACCCUGGGUUCUCUGUUUCUCAUGUAAGUGAUUUCUCCCCAAUGAAAUUAACCUACUCACCCCUAUCCCCUGUAUGGUAAUGUUAUUCCAACAAUGGCUUGCUCAGCUUGUAUUCUUAUAUAUCCCAGGACUGCCUGCUGAGCCACAGUAAUCAGAAAACGCCCAGUUAACUUUCCUACAGGUCAAUCUGAUGGAGGCAUUUUCUCAAUUGAGAUGACUCUAGGUGUGUCAAGUUGACAAAAAAUAAACAGCUCAUCUAUCAUAUGGAUGCUGGGGAACCACAGUCAGGGCCUCUGCAAUAACCGCAUCUCCAGCCCCAAACAGAAGCUUUAAUGUUAAAAAGGCCUGGCCAGUUGUCUCCUUGGUAGAGCAAGCCUUCUGUGUUGCAUCUAAAAAGCCAUCACCACUCCAAGGCCCUUGAGACUUCUCCUGUGUGACAAUCUAGGUGAAUAUUAGUUUUGCAUUUUACUUCUAGAUCUGUAACCCAAAUAGAAUUUUCAGCUGAGUCCUCACUUUGUGUGUGUGUGUGUGUGUGUGUGUGUGUGUGUGUGUGUAGCCCAUACGUUCUAGUAUUAGCAAUGCUGACUGGAACAGCAGUCCUACCCCAGCCUUCCAGAUUGGAUGAGGUCCACGGUACUGAUAAAGAACAUGGUCCCUAAGACAUCACCUUAUCAAACUCAAGUGUCUUCCAAAUAUCCAACACCUGGCUGAAAGUACUGUCCAACCAGUUCCCUGAGAUCCAGGGGCCUGCCAAGUGGACAUGUGAAGCCAUCCCCUGAACCUUGCUUCUGGUUUGGUAUCCUGGCCUACCGGCCUACUCCCUAGCCACAGGGCACACAUCCUAUGUGGUGCCGUUCUCCUCUGUCAUCUUUACCAACUUAGUCCCUUCCUUCUGUGAAUAACCACAAAUGUGUAAGGACUUGAUGAGAGUCUGCCAAGUCCCCACAGUUUUGAGUGUGGUUCACCUCUAGACUCUGAUACAAGUCCUGUGUUCUUCCUAGCCCCACCCCAAUAGCCCAAAGAAAGGGCCUCAUGCAACACUGUCAUACAGGGCAGAGUUAGGGCUGGGGUUCGGAGUGAACAAGGCAGGAUUCUCAGUUGUAGGUGGUUGGGGGCAGAGCCCCUGAAGCAGAGACCUGUACACUGAUCCCAUAUACUUCAGGGUGAGGGACAGGUCCCGACUGCCCCUGGAGAACAGUGUCUAGGUUCUCAACUCUGUCUUACCAGCUCCCCUAUCUUGUGUGGUAACCAGUUGAUGGAGACAAUGAGCCUUGGAAUGAAGGCUCUAAUGGAUUGCUGUGCAGAUGCCCUCAUGUAGCUUCUGAGCUUCUUCAGGGUUCGAGCCUCAUGGGAGAACGUCCUUAGAGUGACCUGGCUCUUAUUGCUGGCUGGGCUCCAGAGCAAACCAUCCCAGCUGUAUGGGUUUCUCAAGGGGCCAUCAGUCUCCCUGAAGGUUCAGCUGGCUUAUUCCACCCUCCAGCAAUUGGAGCCUCCUGGCCUGAGCAAGACGCUGUGUCCACAGCAGAUCAGCAGCUGAUGGACAUCUAUUUAUUUUGGCCAAAAGGGUUUUUUCGGGAAAUGAGAAGUGGACAUGGUUGUUUAGUCUCCCAUCUUUCUGCUGGCUCUGGGAAAGGCCAGGGUGCCCAACUAUGAAUUGGGGUCAGUGGGCUGUGAGAAGGAAGCCUCUGUCCCUGGAGCCACCCACUGAGCUCUGAAGACAGUUCUUCUUCCUCUUUACUUUGGGAAGGGCCUCCGAUGUCCAGAUGAUUUCUGUUGUCCUCUUGCUGACAUGGCUAAACAUGGCCCUCCCUUACCUGGCCAUCUCCAAGCUUCUGGCCAUCCCCCAGUGCACUUAUGCUCAUAUUGUCACUUGGCCUAUGACUUAAUUUGCUUUUAAAUCCUCCCCCACCCCUGUUAUGGUGAUGAUAAAAUACCAUGACAAGAGCAACAAAGGGAGGAAGGGUUUAUUCUGCCUACACGUCAAGGGUACAGACCAUCAUGGUGGAAGUCAAGGCAUCAGAAUCUUGAAGCAGCUGCUCACAUUGCAUCCACAGUAAGGAAGCAGAGUGUAAUGACGGCUGGUGCUCAGCUCCCUUUAUCUGUGUUUGCAGUCCAGGAUCCCAGCCAGGGAGUGUGGUCACCCACGGUUGACAGGCCUUCCCAGUUCAAUUAACAUGAUUCCCCUACCAGCAUGCCCAGAGUCCUGUCUCUAGGUGGUUCUAGAUGCUUCACCUAUAGGCAUGCAGAGAAAGCCGGGCAGUGGGCAGGCACCCACGAGAAGAAUUGUGUGAGUACGCACAGAUCAAUGGGCACAUGGCUACAGGUAUGCACAUACAUGGUUGCUAACUGCAUGUGUGUGGAUGUAUGCAUGUACACACACUGUUCUCAGAGAAUUGCCAUCACCUAGGCCAGUGCCUCAUGGGCAUCUGGUCCUAUCCUCAUCCAGGGCCAACCCUUCCAUCACUGUCAGUCGUUGCAGGCCCAGCACACUGGGAGUGUCUUUCCUGACCACUCAGAGUGGCCUUGAGGGAGAGAAAUGGUUGGUUCUAGUGUCCCAGGGCUGUCAUGAAAAAGUGUCACACGGUGGAGCGAGGUCGCCAAGGUUCUUCCCUUUGGUCUACGGGCCAGGCCUGAGUUCCACUGUCACAGGCUAUGUCUACCUGCCUCUUUCAGAGCCCAGAAGGUCCUGGGGUUCAAUAUUGGGGUCACACCAUUUUAAGUGCUGCUUUUGAGGUCACGUGACUUCUUGGUCUGAUUUCUUCCCGUCUCCUUUACAGUGGUGUCAUGUAGGGGCUGCCUGGACAGUACCAAUGAUUCACCGUCACACAGCCUCACUGACCACCUCUACAAAGACCCCUCUCUAAGAGUGGGUGGUCGGUCCCAUAGUGGAUCUUCGCAAAUGCACAUAGGUAUGAAGAGAAUGUGCCUUUCAGGCCACACAGCUGAGCACAGCGUCACUCUCCUCUCCUCACAGGCUUGCAGAGAGAGCGAGCUGGAUAGGGCUGCUGAGGUCUGUGAGGAACCUCCACAGACAUCAGAGAGAGGGGAACAGAGAUCAGCCACCCAUUGCUCACUGUGAGCCUAGAUUCUGUCAAACCUCCCAAACACAGUGAGCCAUGGGCUAGCAGGUGUCUUAUGCUCUGCCUUCUGAGAGCUUGUGCCUGCCGGUCUGCUGAAUGCUGUCCCUGAGAACACAGGUCCACUUCAUGUUGCAGACACUCAGAAGCGUGAUUUCGCAACCCUGCAGUGUUUACAGUGGGCUGUUUCCAUUGCCUCAGCACACUGUAAACACAACGGACCCAGCUCUCAGAUGCGUAAUUGUGGUUUUGGAGUACAGUUCCAACAACGCACUCCCAGAGCCACAAUGUCCAUGAUGCUGAUGAACCAUGCACAGCCCCCGCUUGGCUGUUCUGGUCCUGCCGGGGGCAGCCAUAGGACUACCCUCUUAUUGGGCCUAUAAACCAUUACAGACAUCUCCUUAGGAAAGAGGAGCUGAGCUGGCCACAGGGCGGCUCUGGGGAAGGGCAGGCAGCUCCUCAAGUCUCAUCCAUGUCAAUUCUGUAUCUUCGCUGAUAUGGCAGCUCUCGGGGGCUGGCUGUCCAUGUGUGCAAAUGUUCUCAGAGAUGGGUUGGCAACCCCAAAAUUCUGUACACAGCAUGUCUGUAUGUUUCUAAAGUGUUUGUUUGUGC